UACGUAGGGGGCAAGCGUUGUCCGGAAUUAUUGGGCGUAAAGAGCGUGUAGGCGGCCAGAUAAGUCCGCUGUGAAAUCUCGAGGCUCAACUUCGAGCUGUCGGUGGAAACUAUCUGGCUAGAGUCCGGAAGAGGAGAAUGGAAUUCCUGGUGUAGCGGUGAAAUGCGCAGAUAUCAGGAAGAACACCGGUGGCGAAGGCGGAUCUCUGGGCCGUAACUGACGCUGAGGAGCGAAAGCAUGGGGAGCGAACAGG
rnacentral:rRNA from 1 species